rnacentral:rRNA from 1 species
UACAGAGGAUGCAAGCGUUAUCCGGAAUGAUUGGGCGUAAAGCGUCCGCAGGUGGUUUUGUAAGUCUGCUGUUAAAGCGUUAGGCUCAACCUGAUAAGGGCAGUGGAAACUAUGAGACUAGAGUAUGUUAGGGGUAGAGGGAAUUCCCAGUGUAGCGGUGAAAUGCGUAGAGAUUGGGAAGAACACCGGUGGCGAAAGCGCUCUGCUAGGACAAUACUGACACUGAGGGACGAAAGCUAGGGGAGCGAAUGGG